AUUCUUAGCUUCGGCAGAACAUAAACUAAAAUUGGAAUGAUACAGUGAAAAUUAGCAUAGCCCCUGCACAAGGAUGACACACAAAUUUGUGAAGCAUUCCAAAUUUUU